AACAAAAAAAAAAAAAAAGUUUUACUGUGCAGAAAAAGAAAAGGAGAUUGAGAGUUUCUUUUGAUGUUAUUCCACAAGCAAGCGGGAUUAAUAGCUUUGCAUAUCAUUUACAACUGCAGUUAAAAAGACUUGAAGUUGAGAGAAACAAACAAGGGAAAAAUAUGUGUAGGAUCAAAUGAAAGUAAAUGGCCAUGUCCUGGAAAUAGCAUGCCUAUUUUCAAAAGAAAACAAAAUGAAUACAAAGCUAAAAAUAACAGUAUGAAGAAGAUAUCUUUAUUGAGUAGGAUUAAAUAUACACUUUGAUUGGGCAUUUGUCAAUAUGAGAUAAAAUUCUAACUUAUCUUAGCGAACUAUCUGUAAAUGUAUCUUAAAUUUGUGGUUAUGUAGCACACUAUGGAUGUAAUUAUAGUAGCAGUGUCAUAUAUUGUUGCUUGUAGGUCCUUCUGUAUGUAUAAAUAUGCAUUAAAUGUCCUGUUAAAGAGCUGAUAUGUUCCUACGGAAAAAUCAAGGAUUUGCUUGGUUUUGCACACUUGUGAAGGUUUGCCUUUAUUUUUUGUUGGAAAUUUCUGACAGCUAAAAGUUAUUGUCUAACUCUUUAUGAGAGAAAUAUUUAAAUGCUUGUAUUAUCACACAAAGGGAUGGGGAGAGAGGAAAAUGUCACUUACAGAAUUAAGGUGGGAUUAUUUAAAUGGAGAAAUGUGGUGGGUGGCCUGUCUUUUGCUAUUCUAAUGUCCCUGCCAAGUUAAAAGGGGAAGUUUGUCAAUGCUGCAAUUUGGCUGGCUGUGGCCCACGAGAAAUCAAUGUUGCUUGGUGAAUAAGUGUUGUAAAGAUCAGGAUUCCAGGAUAGCUGUGAGGAAAUACAUAGCAAACUAGAAGUGGUAACUGAUGCAGUCGCAGUCAAGAAAAACUAAAUAUAGGAAUUAUUUUGAUCUAAUUUUCCUUGUAAAAUUAAGAAGUUUAGGUU
rnacentral:misc_RNA from 1 species